UGGCCAGACUCCUACGGGAGGCAGCAGUGGGGAAUAUUGCACAAUGGGGGGAACCCUGAUGCAGCGACGCCGCGUGGGUGAAGAAGUAUUUCGGUAUGUAAAGCCCUAUCGGCAGGGAAGAAUUUAGACGGUACCUGACUAAGAAGCCCCGGCUAACUACGUGCCAGCAGCCGCGGUAAUACGUAGGGGGCAAGCGUUAUCCGGAUUUACUGGGUGUAAAGGGAGCGUAGACGGCUGUGCAAGCCAGAUGUGAAAGCCCGGGGCUCAACCCCGGGACUGCAUUUGGAACUGCGUGGCUUGAGUGUCGGAGAGGCAGGCGGAAUUCCUAGUGUAGCGGUGAAAUGCGUAGAUAUUAGGAGGAACACCAGUGGCGAAGGCGGCCUGCUGGACGAUGACUGACGUUGAGGCUCGAAAGCGUGGGUAGCAAACAGGAUUAGAUACCCCGGUA
rnacentral:rRNA from 1 species